UACGUAGGGCGCAAGCGUUGUCCGGAAUUAUUGGGCGUAAAGAGCUCGUAGGCGGCCUGUUGCGUCCGCUGUGAAAUCCCGGGGCUCAACCCCGGGCCUGCAGUGGAUACGGGCUGGCUAGAGGCAGGCAGGGGAGAACGGAAUUCCUGGUGUAGCGGUGAAAUGCGCAGAUAUCAGGAGGAACACCGAUGGCGAAGGCAGGUCUCUGGGCAUUAACUGACGCUGAGGAGCGAAAAGCAUGGGGAGCGAACAGG
rnacentral:rRNA from 1 species